UACGAAGGGGGCUAGCGUUGCUCGGAAUCACUGGGCGUAAAGCGUGCGCAGGCGGCUUUGCAAGACAGAUGUGAAAUCCCCGGGCUUAACCUGGGUACUGCAUUUGUGACUGCAUGGCUAGAGUGCGGCAGAGGGGGAUGGAAUUCCGCGUGUAGCAGUGAAAUGCGUAGAUAUGCGGAGGAACACCGAUGGCGAAGGCAAUCCCCUGGGCCUGCACUGACGCUCAUGCACGAAAGCGUGGGGAGCAAACAGG
rnacentral:rRNA from 1 species